AUGAAGGCAGCAUUAAAAACUAUCCUCCCACAUACUCUGCAUAAGUUGUGUCGGUGGCAUAUCAUGAAGAAGUACAAAGACCACCUCGCCUUGCUGUAUAAGGCGCAUGAGAAACUCAAGGAUGACCUCAAUGCGGUGUUGAACCACGCACUAAUGCCAUCAGAAUUUGAACGAGCAUGGAAUGACCUCAUUCAGAGAUACAACUUGCAAGAUGACGAAGUGAUGAAUGACCUGUGGGAUGACAGGCACGAGUGGAUCUCGGCUUACUACAAGGAAAUUUUUUGUGCUCGGAUGACUUCCACGCAGAGAAGCGAGAGCAUGAACCGCAUACUGAAGAAAAACUUUGUCAAAGAGAAGCAUGAUCUCCAUCUGUUUGCUCAACAGGUGGACAAGUGCAUUCAGACCAGGAAGGCCGUAGAGCACAUAGAGAUAGUAGCAAAUGAGUCAAAGGUAAAGACAACAACCCAGUUUGGGUUCGAAGUUCAGCUAUCAAAAGUGUAUACAAGGGCAGUGUUUGCAGAUUUCAAAGAAACACUCUAUCGUAGCACUGCAUUCAGAAGAACGGUGCCUUGAGAACCUGACAAAUAUCUCGUACACCACUACAACAGAUCGGAUGCAUUUGACUGGGCAAGGCAUAAUUUCCAAGUGGUCGCUGAUGAAAAGAAAGGUGUCUACGAAUGUGAGUGCAAACUCUGGACACACACAGGGCUCUUUUGCGUCCAUGUGUUAUGCAUGCUUUCUCAUUUGAGACUCAAGAUUCCUGAGGUGUACAUCAUGAAAAGAUACACCCGUAAUGCAAGAUCAAAUGCGACGUUUGACAGAAGAGACUAUGAACAAACAGCACCAGAUGGAACCUCGCUUUUUUGCCGUAGAAAAUUGCUGACAGAAACAACAAUGGACCUUGCAAACAGAGCGACAAGGUCCGAC
rnacentral:rRNA from 1 species